rnacentral:rRNA from 1 species
GACGAACGCUGGCGGCGUGCUUAACACAUGCAAGUCGAACGGAAAGGCCCUGCUUUUGUGGGGUGCUCGAGUGGCGAACGGGUGAGUAACACGUGAGUAACCUGCCCUUGACUUUGGGAUAACUUCAGGAAACUGGGGCUAAUACCGGAUAGGAGCUCCUGCUGCAUGGUGGGGGUUGGAAAGUUUCGGCGGUUGGGGAUGGACUCGCGGCUUAUCAGCUUGUUGGUGGGGUAGUGGCUUACCAGGUCUUUGACGGGUAGCCGGCCUGAGAGGGUGACCGGCCACAUUGGUACUGAGAGACGGCGCAGACUGCUACGGGAGGCAGCAGGCGAGAGUAUGGCACAAUGGGCGGAAGCCUGAGGCAGCAACGCUGCGUGCGGGAUGACGGCCUUCGGGUUAUAAACCGCUUUCGCAGGUGACGAAGCGUGAGUGACGGUAAUGGGUAAAAAAGCACCGGCUAACUACGUG